rnacentral:lncRNA from 1 species
GCGGUACUCUACCAGAUCUCCUUAAUGGUGCCUCUACUGGCUCCAAAUUUGAUUCUCCAAUCAAAUUCAAUUAUGUGUGUGUCGGUCUUUUUACCUCUUGAACUUCAUCCAAUUUAAUUUUACAGGCUUUAGCUCUUUCUCUAAGGAACUUUUUUUUCAAAAAGACUGCCCUGCUGCUGAUAAACAUCUUUUACUUUGCAGUAAGGUAGAAGUAGUACCUAUUGGAUUU